CCACUAGAUGUUGGAACAUUGCUGCUAUAACAGCCUCCACUCUGCUGGGAAGGUUUUCCACUAGAUGUUGGAACAUUGCUGCUAUAACAGCCUCCACUCUGCUGGGAAGGUUUUCCACUAGAUGUUGGAACAUUGCUGCUAUAACAGCCUCCACUCUGCUGGGAAGGUUUUCCACUAGAUGUUGGAACAUUGCUGCUAUAACAGCCUCCACUCUGCUGGGAAGGUUUUCCACUAGAUGUUGGAACAUUGCUGCUAUAACAGCCUCCACUCUGCUGGGAAGGUUUUCCACUAGAUGUUGGAACAUUGCUGCUAUAACAGCCUCCACUCUGCUGGGAAGGUUUUCCACUAGAUGUUGGAACAUUGCUGCUAUAACAGCCUCCACUCUGCUGGGAAGGUUUUCCACUAGAUGUUGGAACAUUGCUGCUAUAACAGCCUCCACUCUGCUGGGAAGGUUUUCCACUAGAUGUUGGAACAUUGCUGCUAUAACAGCCUCCACUCUGCUGGGAAGGUUUUCCACUAGAUGUUGGAACAUUGCUGCUAUAACAGCCUCCACUCUGCUGGGAAGGUUUUCCACUAGAUGUUGGAACAUUGCUGCUAUAACAGCCUCCACUCUGCUGGGAAGGUUUUCCACUAGAUGUUGGAACAUUGCUGCUAUAACAGCCUCCACUCUGCUGGGAAGGUUUUCCACUAGAUGUUGGAACAUUGCUGCUAUAACAGCCUCCACUCUGCUGGGAAGGUUUUCCACUAGAUGUUGGAACAUUGCUGCUAUAACAGCCUCCACUCUGCUGGGAAGGUUUUCCACUAGAUGUUGGAACAUUGCUGCUAUAACAGCCUCCACUCUGCUGGGAAGGUUUUCCACUAGAUGUUGGAACAUUGCUGCUAUAACAGCCUCCACUCUGCUGGGAAGGUUUUCCACUAGAUGUUGGAACAUUGCUGCUAUAACAGCCUCCACUCUGCUGGGAAGGUUUUCCACUAGAUGUUGGAACAUUGCUGCUAUAACAGCCUCCACUCUGCUGGGAAGGUUUUCCACUAGAUGUUGGAACAUUGCUGCUAUAACAGCCUCCACUCUGCUGGGAAGGUUUUCCACUAGAUGUUGGAACAUUGCUGCUAUAACAGCCUCCACUCUGCUGGGAAGGUUUUCCACUAGAUGUUGGAACAUUGCUGCUAUAACAGCCUCCACUCUGCUGGGAAGGUUUUCCACUAGAUGUUGGAACAUUGCUGCUAUAACAGCCUCCACUCUGCUGGGAAGGUUUUCCACUAGAUGUUGGAACAUUGCUGCUAUAACAGCCUCCACUCUGCUGGGAAGGUUUUCCACUAGAUGUUGGAACAUUGCUGCUAUAACAGCCUCCACUCUGCUGGGAAGGUUUUCCACUAGAUGUUGGAACAUUGCUGCUAUAACAGCCUCCACUCUGCUGGGAAGGUUUUCCACUAGAUGUUGGAACAUUGCUGCUAUAACAGCCUCCACUCUGCUGGGAAGGUUUUCCACUAGAUGUUGGAACAUUGCUGCUAUAACAGCCUCCACUCUGCUGGGAAGGUUUUCCACUAGAUGUUGGAACAUUGCUGCUAUAACAGCCUCCACUCUGCUGGGAAGGUUUUCCACUAGAUGUUGGAACAUUGCUGCUAUAACAGCCUCCACUCUGCUGGGAAGGUUUUCCACUAGAUGUUGGAACAUUGCUGCUAUAACAGCCUCCACUCUGCUGGGAAGGUUUUCCACUAGAUGUUGGAACAUUGCUGCUAUAACAGCCUCCACUCUGCUGGGAAGGUUUUCCACUAGAUGUUGGAACAUUGCUGCUAUAACAGCCUCCACUCUGCUGGGAAGGUUUUCCACUAGAUGUUGGAACAUUGCUGCUAUAACAGCCUCCACUCUGCUGGGAAGGUUUUCCACUAGAUGUUGGAACAUUGCUGCGGGAACUUGCUUCCAUUUGAUGGGGUUGAGGGCAAGUUCUUCCACACCGGUGUCCACGUACUUCUGUGUAUAUGGUGUAUUUCAUGCACAGUGCUUA